rnacentral:rRNA from 1 species
AUUGAACGCUGGCGGAAUGCUUUACACAUGCAAGUCGAGCGGCAGCACGGGGGUAACCCUGGUGGCGAGCGGCGAACGGGUGAGUAAUACAUCGGAACAUGCCCAGUCGUGGGGGAUAACACUUCGAAAGAAGUGCUAAUACCGCAUACGUCCUGAGGGAGAAAGCGGGGGAUCGCAAGAACUCGCGCGAUUGGAGUGGCCGAUGUCAGAUUGGCUAGUUGGUGGGGUAAAGGCCUACCAAGGCAACGAUCUGUAGCUGGUCUGAGAGGAUGAUCGGCCACACUGGGAGUGGGACACGGCCCAGGCUCCUACGGGAGGCAGCAGUGGGGAAUGUUGGACAAUGGGGGCAACCCUGAUCCAGCCAUUCCGCGUGAGUGAAGAAGGCCUUCGGGUUGUAAAGCUCUUUCGGCAGGAACGAAACGGUGAGCUCUAACAUAGCUUGCUAAUGACGGUACCUGAAGAAGAAGCACCGGCUAACUACGUG